UGCCCAAGAGAUCGGGAUAACACCUGGAAACAGAUGCUAAUACCGGAUAACAACAGAUGAUGCCUAUCAACUGUUUAAAAGAUGGUUCUGCUAUCACUCUUGGAUGGACCUGCGGUGCAUUAGCUAGUUGGUAGGGUAACGGCCUACCAAGGCGAUGAUGCAUAGCCGAGUUGAGAGACUGAUCGGCCACAUUGGGACUGAGACACGGCCCAAACUCCUACGAGAGGCAGCAGCG
rnacentral:rRNA from 1 species